AUAUAUCUCACAACUACAUGCAUAAUCCUAAUGUUGCACCUCAAGGAACUAGAAAAGAACUAACUAAACACAAAAUGAGUAGAAGGAAAAAAAAUGAAUAGAAGGAAGGAUAUAGUAAACAUCAGAGCAGAAAUGAUGAAAUAGAGACUAAGGAAUACAAAAGAUGUUUUUUGAAAAGAUGAACAAAAUUGACAAACCUUUAGCUAGACUAAGAAAAAGAGAGAAGAUUCAAAUAAAAUCAGAAGUGAAAAAGGAGAAAUUACACCUGAUAUCAGAGAAUACAAAGAAUUAUAAGAGAAUAUUAGCAACAAUUAUAUGCUAAUAAAUUAGAUAACCUAGAAAAAAUGGAUACAUUCCUCGGCACAUACAGUUUACCAAGACUGAAUUAUUAAAAAAUAGAAAAUCUGAGUAGAAUAGUAUGGAAUAAGGAGACUGAAUCAGUCAUAGAAAGUCUCCUAUCAGAAAAAGUCCAAGACCUGAUGGCCUUACUGCUGAAUUCAACCAGCAUUUAAAGAAGAAUUAGUAAAAUUCUUCUGAAACCAUUUCAAAAAAUUGAAGGGGAAGGAAUUCUUUCAAAUUCAUUCUAUGAAGUCAACAUUACCCUGAUUACAAAACCAGAUGAGGACACAACAAAAAACUACAGGCCAAUACCCUGAUCAAAAUAGAUACAAAAAAUCCUCAACAAAAUACUGGUAAACAAAUUCACCAGCACAUUAAAAAUAAUUCAUUGUGGAUUCUUGCAAAUGUCAUCUGCUGAGAUGCCUCACACAGAGACUACUGUCUCUCCUUUUCCUUCCUCAUGGAUCUGCUUAUUUGGGACAGCCCUGAUUUUUCCACCAGUCCCAAAGGCAAACAGCCCCCUGCUGCACAGAAUAGUGCCACAAGAAAAGGAAGACAAGUUCGCAGUCAAGAAAUAGAAGACCAGAACUGUGUUCUCGUUUACCUGUGUGUACUCAUUGAUUGAUUUCAGAGACAGAAAUACCUCAGCCUUCAGCAGAUGCAAGAACUUUCCAACAUCCUGAACCUUAGCUACAAGGAGGUGCAGACCUGGUUCCAGAGAACGAAAUCUAAGAGGUGGCAUCAAAACAACUGACCAAAGAAUAGCAAUGGUGUGACUCAGAAGGCCUCAGCACCUGCCUACCCUCGCCUCUACUCUUUCUACCACCAGGGGUGCCUGGUGAACACAACUGGGAACCUUCCAAUGUGGAGCAACCAGACCUGGAGCAAUUCACCCUGGAGCAACCAGACCCGGAAUAUCCAGCCCUGGAGCAACCACUCCUGAACACUCAGACCUGGUGCACCCAGUCCUGAAACAAUCAGGCCUGGAACAAUCCCUUCUAUUACUGUGGAGAGGAAUCUCUGCAGUCCUGCUUGCAAUUCCAGCCAAAUUCUGCCAGUGACUUGCAGGCUGCUUUGGAAACUGCUGGGGAAAACCAUAAUGUAAUACAGCAGACCACUAGGUAUAUUAGUAAUCCACAAACCAUGGAUUUGUUCCUAAACUACUCCACAAACAUGUAACCUGAAGAUGUGUGAAGAUGAGUGAAAUUGAUAUUACUCAAUUUCACUCUGGGCACUGGCCGAAUCCUUCCUCUCCCCUCCUCCCCUCCCUCUUAGGAUUUUUCUUGUUUGGAAAUCACAUGUUCUGGUUUCCAUUAUGCCUAUACAGUCAAUUUUAUGGAGGAUGGGAUAUGGUUGGAGCCUAGUCAGAGAGGUUUCUUUUUUUUUUCCUUAUUGAAUCUUCCUGGAGAAAAGACGUUUUGAUAACCUUGGCUGCUAAGGACAACAUGAUAGAAGCUGUCUCUGGCUAUAGAUAAGUAGAUCUAAUGCUACUUUGGAUAUGUUUAGGGUUUAGAAUCUAACCUCAAGAAUAAGAAAUAAAAGUACAAAUUGGUAUUAAAAAAAUUCAUUAUGAUCAAAUGGGAUACAUCCCAGGAUAGCAAGGAUGGUUCAAUAUAUACAAAUCAAUAAAUGUAACAAAAUGAACAAUAAAAUCCAUAUGGCCAAUUCAACAGAUGCUGAAAAGAUUUGACAGAAUCCAACGUCUCUUACUGAUAAAAACUCUCAACAAAUUAGGUACAGAAAGCAUAUAGCUCAACACAAUAAAGACCGUAUUUGACAAACCCACAGCUAACAUCAUACUGAAUGGGGGAAAGUUGAAAGCUAUUCCUUUAAGCUUUGGAACAAGACAAGGAUGCCCACUUUCAUUAUUUCUAUUCAACAUAGUACUGGAAGUUUAAGCCAGAACAGUUUGGCAAGAGAAGGAAAUAAAAGUCAUCCAAAGUGGGAAUAAAGAAGUUAGAUUUUACAUGUUUGCAAAUGACAUGAUCUUAUAUACACAAAAACCUAAAGACUCCACUAAAAAAAAUAUUAGAACUGAUAAGUUCAGUAAAGUUGUGGGGUACAAAAUAAACAUAAAAAUUAGUAUUAUUUCUGUAUGAUAAUGGAAAACUAUCUGAAAUAGAAAUCUAGAAAACAAUUCUAAUAAUAAUAGCUACACAAAAUAAAAUGUUUAGGAAUAAAUUUAAAGAGGUGAAACAUCUCUACAAUGAAAACUAUAAAACACUGAUGAAAGAAAUUGAAGAAGACACAAAUAAAUGGAAAGACAUUCCAUUUAUUUUUAUAGACUAGAUGAAUUAAUAUUGUUAACAUGUCUCUACUACCUAAAGCAAUCUACCAAUUCAGUGCAACUCCUAUCAAAAUACCAAUGACAUUCUUAAUGGAAAUAGAAAAAAAAAUUCUAAAAUUUUUAUGGAACCACAAAAGGCUCCAAAUAGCCAAAUCAACCCUGCGAAGAAAGGACAAAGUUUUGAAGGCGUCAUACUGCCUGACUUCAAAAUAUACCACAAAACUAUAGUAACCAAAACAGCACGGUACUGACAUAAACAGACACAUAGACCAAUGGAACAGAAUGAGGCCCAGAAAUAAAUCCACAGAUUUGCAGCCAACUGAUUUUCAACAAAGGUGCCAAGAACACACCUUGGGCAAAGGAUAGUCUCUUCAAUAAACGGUGCUGGGAAAACUUAAUAUGUACAUGUAGAAGAAUGAAAUUUGACCCUUAUCUCUCACCAUAUAAAAAGUCAACUCAAGAUGGAUUAAAGAGUUCCAUGUUAGUCCUGGUAAUAUAAAGUUAUUAGAAGAAGGCUUAUGGGAAAAGCUUCAUGACCUUGGUCUGGACAAGAAUUUUUUUUUUUUUUAAGAAAACCUCAAAAGCACAGGCAACAAAAGCAAAAAUAGACAAAUGGGAUCACAGCAAAUGACAAAAGCUUCUAAAUAGCAAAGGAAAUGAUCAAGAGUGAAGACACAACUUACAGAAUGGGAGAAUAUAUUUGCAAAGUAUGCAUCUGAUAAAGGGUUAAUAUCCAAAAUAUAUAAGGAACUUAAAUAACUCAACAGCAAAAAAACAACCCAAAAAUGGGCAAAAGACCUGCAUAGACAUUUCUCCAAAGGAGACAUAAAAAUGGCCAACAGAUAUAUGAAAAAAAAUGCUCAACCUCACUAGUCAUCAGUUAAAUGCAAAUCAGAAUUACAAUGAGUUAUUACCUCACUCCUUAGAAUGGCUAUUAUUAAAAAAAAGAUGAAGAUGUAGAUAAAAAGGAAGCUUUACAAACUCAUAGUUGGAAUAUAAAUUAUUAUAGCCAUUAUGGAAAACAGAACAGAGGUUCCUCAAAAAAUUAAAAAUAGAACUAUCAUAUGAUCCAGCAGUUUCACUACUGGGUAUAUUUCUAAAGGAAAUGAAAUUAGUAUGUUGAGGAGACAUCUGUACUCCUGUGAUUAUUACAGCACUACUCACAAAAGCCAAGAUGUGGAAUCAACCUAAGUAUCCAUCAGUGGAUGAAUGGAUAAAGAGUAUAUGGUAUAUCUACAAAAUGGAAUAUUAGUCCACCAUAAAAAGAACAAAAUCUACUUAUUUGUGACAACACGUA